CCCCUCCCUUUUCAUGUGUUAAAAGUGAAAAGAUCUGUUACUGCCUGGAUCUAUCAUAGCAGUGGGGGAUGCUGGGCUGCUUUCCCCCACACCGCUUAAUGUCCUGGCCUGGACUGUCCAUAGCCCCGGGAUGGUGGGAUCCUCUCCC